rnacentral:piRNA from 1 species
UUCAGCAGGCCCUUGUACCGUAUUC